UACGAAGGGUGCAAGCGUUACUCGGAAUUACUGGGCGUAAAGCGUGCGUAGGUGGUGGUUUAAGUCCGUUGUGAAAGCCCUGGGCUCAACCUGGGAACUGCAGUGGAUACUGGAUCACUAGAGUGUGGCAGAGGGUAGUGGAAUUCCCGGUGUAGCAGUGAAAUGCGUAGAGAUCGGGAGGAACAUCAGUGGCGAAGGCGACUGCCUGGGCCAACACUGACACUGAGGCACGAAAGCGUGGGGAGCAAACAGGAUUAGAUACCCUGGUAGUCCACGCCCUAAACGAUGCGAACUGGAUGUUGGGUGCACUUUGGCACGCAGUAUCGAAGCUAACGCGUUAAGUUCGCCGCCUGGGGAGUACGGUCGCAAGACUGAA
rnacentral:rRNA from 1 species